CAAGCCGGCUGGGUGUUCGCGAGCAGGGAACCCCCUGCUUGAGGAAAGUCCGAGCUGCGCAGAGCAGGGUGCUGGAUAACGUCCAGUGGGGGCAACCCCAAGGAAAGUGCCACAGAAAACAAACCGCCGGCCGGAAAGCCGGUAAGGGUGAAACAGUGCGGUAAGAGCGCACUAGGGACCAGGUGACUGGCUCCCUCGGUAAACCCCACCCGCAGCAAGACCAAAUAGGGGGAGGAUGAGGUUGCUCGCUGACUCCCCGGGUUGGUCGCUUGAGGUGUUGGGCAACCAACGCCCUAGAUAGAUGAACACCGUGAACAGAACUCGGCUUACGGGUCGACUUGCCGG
rnacentral:RNase_P_RNA from 1 species